rnacentral:misc_RNA from 1 species
AACCAUUCUCACCUGCGGCUAGACCUGCGGAGGGAUCAUUACUGGGUCACGUGCUCAAACAACCCUUCUGUGGACCUGAAAUAAAACCGUUGCCUCGGCGGGCGGUCCCCCCCAAACCAACCCCACGUGGUGGGUUAGGGGAGACCAGACAGUCCGGUACGCUUAAGGCGUCCGGCGCCAGCCGCUGGCCCCAAACAAUUAAACUCUAGUAAUCUUUACCUUCUGAAUUUCAAUAUUUAA